rnacentral:rRNA from 1 species
AGAGUUUGAUCAUGGCUCAGAACGAACGCUGGCGGCAGGCUUAACACAUGCAAGUCGAGCGCAUAGUUUACUAUGAGCGGCAGACGGGUGAGUAACGCGUGGGAAUCUACCUUAAGCUGCGGGAUAACAGAGAGAAAUUUCUGCUAAUACCGCAUGUGUCCUUCGGGAGAAAGAUUUAUCGGCUUAAGAUGAGCCCGCGUUGGAUUAGCUUGUUGGUGAGGUAAUGGCUCACCAAGGCGACGAUCCAUAGCUGGUCUGAGAGGAUGAUCAGCCACACUGGGACUGAGACACGGCCCAGACUCCUACGGGAGGCAGCAGUGGGGAAUAUUGGACAAUGGGCGCAAGCCUGAUCCAGCCAUGCCGCGUGAGUGAAGAAGGCCUUAGGGUUGUAAAGCUCUUUCACCGGUGAAGAUAAUGACGGUAACCGGAGAAGAAGCCCCGGCUAACUUCGUGCCAGCAGCCGCGGUAAUACGAAGGGGGCUAGCGUUGUUCGGAAUUACUGGGCGUAAAGCGCGCGUAGGCGGAUAGAUAAGUCAGAGGUGAAAUCCCGGGGCUCAACCCCGGAAUUGCCUUUGAUACUGUUUAUCUUGAGUGCAGAAG